rnacentral:ncRNA from 1 species
CUGACUGUCCCUAAAUUGGUGGCAGCGUUGCGAGGAAACUCACAACUGAAUAACUGGGUGAAUUGCGGGAAACCUGUAGCGCGCGAGCGUCAUGGCAAUCCGCAGCCAAGCUCGAAGACAUCUUCGAGAAGGUUCAGAGACUAAGCGCCCAGUGCCUAAGCGCGGCAACGCGUAAGGCAAUGAGAUAGUCCACGCCGAUGGGAAACCUUCGG